AUUGAACGCUGGCGGAAUGCUUUACACAUGCAAGUCGAACGGCAGCAUAGGUGCUUGCACCUGAUGGCGAGUGGCGAACGGGUGAGUAAUACAUCGGAACGUGCCCAGUCGUGGGGGAUAACGUAGCGAAAGUUACGCUAAUACCGCAUACGAUCUACGGAUGAAAGCGGGGGACCGUAAGGCCUCGCGCGAUUGGAGCGGCCGAUGCCUGAUUAGCUAGUUGGUGGGGUAAAAGCCCACCAAGGCGACGAUCAGUAGCUGGUCUGAGAGGACGAUCAGCCACACUGGGACUGAGACACGGCCCAGACUCCUACGGGAGGCAGCAGUGGGGAAUUUUGGACAAUGGGGGCAACCCUGAUCCAGCAAUGCCGCGUGAGUGAAGAAGGCCUUCGGGUUGUAAAGCUCUUUUGUCAGGGAAGAAACACCGGCUCUAACACAGUCCGGGAAUGACGGUACCUGAAGAAUAAGCACCGGCUAACUACGUG
rnacentral:rRNA from 1 species